GCCUAUUUAAUUAUUUAUCAUAAUAUGAUAUAUAUAUUGUUGACAAAGCAUCAAUAUCAACUGAACUCUACUCAGAAUCGUUUUUAGUAAGCAAUGAUUUAUCGUUGUUUACAGAUACAAAUUAUUUUCCUCUCUAUAUCAUAUCCUAUCUCCCAUCUUCUCACCAACAACAGUUGCUGCAUCCAUGUGCGAGGUAUGUUCGUCUUUUUUGUUUUGAAAUAAUUAAUGUAACAGUGUGAAUUUAAAAAUUAUAAUAAAUAAAAUUUUAUGAGAUAUACUUAUUUUUACUGUUAAAAUUAUGAUAGUUUAAUACAUUUAUUAUAAUAUUGCUAUAUCUAAAUGAAUAAUAAAAUUUGUGAUACACGAAUAGUAGUAUUUCAAACUGGAAAUAAACACAUUUUAGAUAGAUAAUUAUAACGUGCAAGUUUGCAUAUUUUUAAUUUUUUUCUUAACUAUUUAAACAUUGGGUAUCUUAAUUUUUUUUUAUCUCUAUGGGUCUCAAAUAAAGAUUUUUCCCGGGCAUCCGAAAGUCUAAAUCAAGCCCUAAAAACAUAUAGGUACUGAAAAUUAAAAUCAACUUGAAAUCCACUCGCGAAACAUACUAAGCACGAAAUCAAUAAUUUCCAUGCUUAACUCUAUUUUUCAAUCAUCACAUACCUAUUCAAAUGUAUAAUACAAUUUCAAAACGUACUUCAAAUUAAUUACAAUAUUGAUUAUUUAUUUUAUUAAACUAAAAUAUGCAUAAAUUAUCUACUUAAUAAGUUUAUUAUCAGAACAAACAACACAGUAGCAGAUUUAUAAGUAAUUCAAGGGGGGGGGAGACUGGGAGGGAUUUUUUACAUAAGCAUACAUUUAAAGUACAUAUUGUGGUGUACAAUUUGUUGUAUUAUAUGGAUUAAACAAUAAAGUCAAAUUAAUUUUCAUGGGCCAUAAUUUUUGAUAAUCCAUCCCUAAUGGGAAUCCUCUCUUUAUAAGCCCCUGCACCACGCUCCAACUUAGCGGAUUUUUUGGAACAAGAUGACUAACCAAUUUUCAAUUAUUAUAGUGAAUGGUUAUUAUUGAAAGGCCAACAAUUUUUCAUAAAAUAAUUUAAAAUUUUGAAACUUAUACUUCAAUUUAUAAAAUAGUUUGACGUUUAUGUUACCUAUUUAAUAAAGUUACCUACUUAGUUUCAGUGGCUUCAUUAAGGAAGAUUAGCCGUUAAAUUCUUUGAAAUCUUCUUAAUAUAGAAAUAAAGCCCCUUAAAUCACAUGCAUUUAAUGGUGUUCAAUAUUUUCCAAUAUUUAUGAGUUACUUGUGCCACUGGAUUCCAUACACUUUAUUUUAUUGACAUUUAAUCUCUAAAAAAGGUUGCUUAGGUCGAUGAUAGGUAAGUAUUCAGAAUCAUGAAGUAA